CGAGCACCGCAUCUUGGUGCUGGGUGGCAAACACACCUGGGAACUCUGAAAGGAAAGGGGUUCACUGAUUUCACAAGGAUUUACUGAGCCCCUCUUCUGACCACACCCGAUCAAGGUGCUGGGGAUACCACAAUCAACCGAUCAGAUGGUCCCUGCCGUAACAGAGAGGAGACAACACACACAAGUAAACACACACAGAGACACAAUCCUGUGAUUAGGGCUUGGAUGAGAACAGUCAGGGUGAUGUGAGUGUGUGGGAGGAACUGGUGGGGGGUUAGCCAGGAAGGACUUCUCUAAGGUGGUGACAGACCAAGACCUGAAUUAGCAGCAGCAGCAGAGAAGAAUGGAAACAAUGUGCCCGGAAGAGGGAACAGCAGAUGCAAAGGUCCUGAGGUAGGAGGGGAGCACACAAGAAGCCACUAGAACCGGAGACGUGGAGGCUAGUGCGACGAGAACAUCAAAAUGCUCCUUGAAGCAGCAGCAACCACUACAAGAUAUGAAACCUCCUUGCAGCAGGACGAAAGCCACAUGCUAAGGACAGCAGAGCAGAAAGACGGGCACCUGGGUCCCUUCCGGCAUCACGUGGAAGCUGCAGCGGCCCGCCUUGUUUCCCUCUAGAAUUCUCAUUAUGGCCGAACAAUAAAUUCCUUCUUGGCC